rnacentral:rRNA from 1 species
AGCGAACGUUUGCGGCGGGCCUAACACAUGCAAGUCGAACGCACUAGCAAUAGUGAGUGGCGCACGGGUGCGUAACACGUGGGUAAUCAACCCUUCAGCCUGGGAUAACGACUCGAAAGGGUCGCUAAUACCGGAUACGGCGCGAGAGGCUUCGGCUUCUCACGAGAAAGCCACGCAAGGGGCACUGAAGGACGAGCCUGCGGCCCAUCAGCUAGUUGGUGAGGUAAGAGCUCACCAAGGCUAGGACGGGUAGCUGGUCUGAGAGGAUGAUCAGCCACACUGGAACUGAGACACGGUCCAGACUCCUACGGGAGGCAGCAGUGGGGAAUAUUGCGCAAUGGGCGAAAGCCUGACGCAGCCACGCCGCGUGAGCGAUGAAGGCCU